CGGCGGACGGGUGAGUAACGCGUGGGUAACCUGCCUUAUACAGGGGGAUAACAGUUAGAAAUGACUGCUAAUACCGCAUAAGCGCACAGUACCGCAUGGUACAGNGUGAAAAACUCCGGUGGUAUAAGAUGGACCCGCGUCUGAUUAGCCAGUUGGCGGGGUAAUGGCCCACCAAAGCGACGAUCAGUAGCCGACCUGAGAGGGUGACCGGCCACAUUGGGACUGAGACACGGCCCAAACUCCUACGGGAGGCAGCAG
rnacentral:rRNA from 1 species